rnacentral:siRNA from 1 species
CACUAAGUAUUGGCGGACUAAGUC